GAGGAAUAAGCAUCGGCUAACUCCGUGCCAGCAGCCGCGGUAAUACGGGGGAUGCAAGCGUUAUCCGGAAUCAUUGGGCGUAAAGCGCCUGUAGGUUGUUUAAUAAGUCUGUUGUUAAAGACUAGGGCUCAACCCUAGGAAAGCAAUGGAAACUACUAGACUUGAGUAUGAUAGGGGUAGAGGGAAUUUCUAGUGUAGCGGUGAAAUGCGUAGAUAUUAGGAAGAACACCGGUGGCGAAGGCGCUCUACUGGAUCAUUACUGACACUCAGAGGCGAAAGCUAGGGUAGCAAAAGGGAUUAGAUACCCCUGUAGUCCUAGCCGUAAACGAUGGAUACUAGAUGUUGCGUUUAUUAUGCAGUAUCCUAGCUAACGCGUUAAGUAUCCCGCCUGGGGAGUACGCUCGCAAGGGUGAAACUCAAAGGAAUUGACGGGGGCCCGCACAAGCGGUGGAGCAUGUGGUUUAAUUCGAUGCAACGCGAAGAACCUUACCAGGGCUUGACAUACUACGAAUUCUUUUGAGAAAAAGAAGUGCCUUCGGGAAUGUAGAUACAGGUGGUGCAUGGCUGUCGUCAGCUCGUGUCGUGAGAUGUUGGGUUAAGUCCCGCAACGAGCGCAACCCUUAUUUUUAGUUACUAAUUCGUUAGGUUCUCUAGAAAGACUGCCGGUGACAAACCGGAGGAAGGUGAGGAUGACGUCAAGUCAGCAUGCCCCUUAUGCCCUGGGCUACACACGUGCUACAAUGGUUAAGACAAAGAGUCGCGAGCUCGCAAGAGUCAGCUAAUCUCAUAAACUUAGCCUAAGUUCAGAUUGUAGGCUGCAACUCGCCUACAUGAAG
rnacentral:rRNA from 1 species